AACGAACGCUGGCGGCAGGCUUAACACAUGCAAGUCGAACGCCCCGCAAGGGGAGUGGCAGACGGGUGAGUAACACGUGGGAACCUUCCUCGUUGUACGGAACAACUCAGGGAAACUUGAGCUAAUACCGUAUACGUCCGAGAGGAGAAAGAUUUAUCGCAAUGAGACGGGCCCGCGUCGGAUUAGCUAGUUGGUGGGGUAUCGGCCUACCAAGGCGACGAUCCGUAGCUGAUCUGAGAGGAUGAUCAGCCACACUGGGACUGAGACACGGCCCAGACUCCUACGGGAGGCAGCAGUGGGGAAUCUUGGACAAUGGGCGCAAGCCUGAUCCAGCCAUGCCGCGUGAGUGAAGAAGGCCUUCGGGUUGUAAAGCUCUUUUGUCAGGGACGAUAAUGACGGUACCUGAAGAAUAAGCCCCGGCAAACUUCGUGCCAGCCGCCGCGGUAA
rnacentral:rRNA from 1 species